AGAGUUUGAUCCUGGCUCAGGACGAACGCUGGCGGUGUGCUUCACACAUGCAAGUCGAACGGAGUAGCAAUACUCAGUGGCGGACGGGUGAGUAACACGUGGGAAUCUACCAUUAGGUGGGGAAUAACAGGCCGAAAGGACUGCUAAUGCCGCAUAUGUAGGCAUCUCGACAGAGAUGUUUAUGAAAGGAGUAAUCCGCCUUUUGAUGAGCCCGCGUCCGAUUAGCUAGUUGGUAGGGUAAAAGCCUACCAAGGCGACGAUCGGUAGGUGGUCUGAGAGGAUGAUCACCCACAAUGGGACUGAGACACGGCCCAUACUCCUACGGGAGGCAGCAGUGGGGAAUUUUACGCAAUGGGGGAAACCCUGACGUAGCGACACCGCGUGAGCGAAGAAGCCCUUUGGGGUGUAAAGCUCUGUCAACAGGAACGAAACAAAUGACGGUACCUGUGGAGGAAGCAUCGGCUAACUACGUGCCAGCAGCGGCGGUAAGACGUAGGAUGCAAGCGUUGUCCGGAUUUAUUGGGCGUAAAGAGUUCGUAGGCGGUUUGUUAAGUCUGAUGUUAAAGACCGGGGCUCAACCUCGGAAAUGCAUUGGAUACUGGCAGACUGGAGUGCAGUAGAGGCUAGUGGAAUUCCCAGUGUAGCGGUGAAAUGCGUAGA
rnacentral:rRNA from 1 species